rnacentral:rRNA from 1 species
UGGGGAAUAUUGGGCAAUGGGGGCAACCCUGACCCAGCGACGCCGCGUGGGGGAAGACGGCCUUCGGGUUGUAAACCUCUUUUGUACGGGAAGAAGGAAGUGACGGUACUGUACGAAUAAGUCCCGGCUAACUACGUGCCAGCAGCCGCGGUAAUACGUAGGGGACGAGCGUUGUCCGGAAUUACUGGGCGUAAGGGGCGCGCAGGCUGUGCUGCAAGUCAGCUGUUAAAUGUCUGGGCUUAACCCGGGCAUGCGGUUGAGACUGCAGUGCUGGAGUGCUGUAGAGGCAAGUGGAAUUCCCAGUGUAGUGGUGAAAUGCGUAGAUAUUGGGAAGAACACCGGUGGCGAAGGCGACUUGCUGGGCAGCAACUGACGCUGAGGCGCGAAAGCCAGGGGAGCAAACGG